UAAUGGAUAUUUGAAGUAUUGGAAAGUAGACAGGUCGGGGAUCUUAAGGAGAUUAAAUUGAUAAAAGAAAACAAAAAAGACGAUCCAUCAUAAAAUAAUUUAAGCGUCCUCUCUGAACUCCAAUGAUGUUCCGAUGACAGAACCAUUAUAUAGGAACUUCCACAUAAAGCAGAUACAUUCAGCCCUUGUCAUAUAUCAUCAGGGUUUAAGAAAAGUUCUUGCAAUUUCGGUCUGGUCUUUAGGAACUUUUUGAAUGGCACAUCAUGAUAUCCUGUGGUGAAUAAUACUGAUACAGUUUAGCAAUGAAUAUAGGGAAACCAGUGGAGCAGACGGCUAUAUAUUUACACAGUAUGUCUGCUUUUUAUGGGACCACCUGGAGGAGACCUUAAAAACACUCUGUCCUAUAUGACCUGGAAGCUGAACAAGGAAAGGACUAGACUAGAAGCACAAAGACCCAUUACGGCCCUGUCCUGGCAAAGCAUCUCAAGGGAGGAAAGUCAGCUUCUUGGUGAUGUCCAUAUGUUCCAGACCCCGGGCAGACAUUGACGGCAAAGUAUUCAUCUAGGGUAGCCAGGAGCCCGGCAGGGAAAAAGCUCAGAACCAUUCAUUCACACCGAUCAUGCUAACAUCUGGCCGCAGCAUAUUUUUGGACCGAAAAAACGCCAUGCAACAGAUUUGAAACUUAGCCUUAAGCACCCAGAUCACCCAUGAGCACCAACAUAUUCCACAGCGCUGUACUGAGAUUGUCAUCCCUGAUACAAAAUACAGAUGCCUAUAUGACAAAAUCGUCUCUGCUGCAUCUGUGUGGUGCGAAAACUACAGUGAAGAAUGACAAGGGGGUUAAGUAUCAACGUUCUCUUCUUACCAAAAAAAGUUACAGCAAAUCCUUCCAACACGCAAGCCCACGGUCCCAGGUAAAAGUAUCCUCUGCUGUUGGUGGCGAUGCUGAUGCUGCCGCCAACAAUGGACACCAAGAAGUCUGCCACCGACAGGUUGACGAU